UGAGGUUUGUUGGUAAGCCGAAGUUAAAACCAACGGUGUAAGGGUUCGAUUGUGAUCCCGGAAAAACAAUUGGGUGGUUCUAGUCGGUGAGCCUGUGAAAAUCGACCGAGUUCGUUGUGAUCUCGUGAAAACAACAAGUUGGGUUGUGAACUUGUAAAACAUCCAGUUGUAAUCCUAGGGAUUAUAGUGAACUCCCAAGUGAAGCUUGGGGAGUGGACGUAGGAGCAAGGGUUAGCUCCGAACCACUAUAAAACCUCUUGUGUUUGUAAUUGGUCCAUCCUCUCCACUCACUACAACUAGUAAUCUAAUUAAUCAGCCUGCAAUAAUAUUAAUUAGUUACUCAUUAAGUUUUAAUUUGCAAUUAUUACUUAAAAC
rnacentral:lncRNA from 1 species